rnacentral:rRNA from 1 species
UACGUAGGGUGCAAGCGUUAAUCGGAAUUACUGGGCGUAAAGCGUGCGCAGGCGGUUUUGUAAGUCUGAUGUGAAAUCCCCGGGCUCAACCUGGGAAUUGCAUUGGAGACUGCAAGGCUAGAAUCUGGCAGAGGGGGGUAGAAUUCCACGUGUAGCAGUGAAAUGCGUAGAUAUGUGGAGGAACACCGAUGGCGAAGGCAGCCCCCUGGGUCAAGAUUGACGCUCAUGCACGAAAGGCGUGGGGAGCAAACGAG